rnacentral:rRNA from 1 species
UACAGAGGUCCCAAGCGUUGUUCGGAUUCACUGGGCGUAAAGGGUGCGUAGGCGGUCGGGUAAGUCUGGCGUGAAAUCUCCAAGCCUAACUUGGAAACUGCGUUGGAUACUAUCCGGCUCGAGGAAUGGAGGGGAGACUGGAAUACUUGGUGUAGCAGUGAAAUGCGUAGAGAUCGGGAGGAACACCAGUGGCGAAGGCGGCCUUCUGGACCAAUACUGACGCUCAUGCACGAAAGCGUGGGGAGCAAACAGG